rnacentral:rRNA from 1 species
GACGAACGCUGGCGGCGUGCCUAAUACAUGCAAGUUGAGCGAUGAAGAUUGGUGCUUGCACCAAUUUGAAGAGCAGCGAACGGGUGAGUAACGCGUGGGGAAUCUGCCUUUGAGCGGGGGACAACAUUUGGAAACGAAUGCUAAUACCGCAUAAUAACUUUAAACAUAAGUUUUAAGUUUGAAAGAUGCAAUUGCAUCACUCAAAGAUGAUCCCGCGUUGUAUUAGCUAGUUGGUGAGGUAAAGGCUCACCAAGGCGAUGAUACAUAGCCGACCUGAGAGGGUGAUCGGCCACAUUGGGACUGAGACACGGCCCAAACUCCUACGGGAGGCAGCAGUAGGGAAUCUUCGGCAAUGGGCGAAAGUCUGACCGAGCAACGCCGCGUGAGUGAAGAAGGUUUUCGGAUCGUAAAACUCUGUUGGUAGAGAAGAACGUUGGUGAGAGUGGAAAGCUCAUCAAGUGACGGUAACUACCCAGAAAGGGACGGCUAACUACGUG